AUUCCAAUUAAAAGAUUAUUGAAAACCUCCCUAUGGUACUGAAGGCAAGAUUUUUCUUGCAUCCAAGUACAAGAUGAUGUUGGUACCAAAGCUGAUAUCCAGAGAAGAUUUCAUCAUGUUGCCCAGGCCGAUCUUGAACUCCUAGGCUCAAGUGAUUCACCGUCCUCAGCCCCUCAGAGUGCUGGGAUUACAGAUUGACUGAUUGGCCUGGCUCUAUCACCAGGAAGUCAAAGUAAAAUUCCACCACUGAACUCUGGAAAGGCAUGUCUUCCGAAGAGUGGGAUUGCCCAUCAAAGAAACAGGAAAAUGCCAUUAGCAAUGAGCUGAAGACUGACUGAUUUACGCUACCAGGCAUGCUUUUAAUGACUACUUGUACAAACAUAGAACUAGAAAAAGUGCUAGAAGCUGACCAGAGACAAAACAAAGAGCACGGUUCUUUUUGGGGCAUCUGCUUAAGGAACAUCACAUGCCCGCCUCAACAGGCUCCCCCUCUCUGUAUUCUGUCAUUAGGAGCAGCAGGACAUUCGGUAAUGAGAAGAUGGAGAUAUCAUUCUUAUAUAAUGCUGCAAUCCGGAAGCAGCACUCUCAAAAAGGUAAGUUUUUUAGGUUAUUUUUAGUCUGGUUUACAAUUUUUAAAAAAAUCCUUCAUUGAACUUUGACUCUGCAGGUUCUAGAAAAUAGAAUAUUGUGGGCAAGACUGGCUUCAGAAGUUUUAUGGCUUAAUAGAAAAAGGUGGGCAGACCUGGUGAAAAUCUUUGCAGGGACAUACAUGCCUCUGAAGCCCAGUAUUUUGCCUCUCUCUCUCUUUUUUUUUUUUUUUCCAGACAGGGUCCCGCUCUGUUGCCCAGGCUGGAGUGCAGUGGUGCGAUCUCGGCUGACUGUAACCUCCGCCCCCCAGGCCCAAGCAAUCCUCCUACCUCAGCUUCCUGAAUAGCUGGGACCACAGGCAUGUGCCAUCACACCUGGCUAAUUUUUUGUAUUUUUGGUAAAGACAGGGUUUUGCCAUGUUCCCUAGGCCAGUCUCAAACUCCUGAGCUCAGGCGAUCCACCCACAGCAGCCUUCCAAAGUGCUGGAAUUGCAGGCAUGAGCCACCGUGCCCAGCCACUCUCAUUUUUUAAAAAACCAAAGAAAAUAAUCUUAAAUCAAUCUUGUACUUGUUUUAUGCACACCACUUUUGCUUGCUUCUUAAAGAGUAUAUGAUUAGCUAUACAAGUGACUUUAGGUUAAGAAAAUCCUUAGUCUUGAGAAAAGCACUGAAGAGGAAGGAGAAGAUGCCAGACCCCAAGACAUCCACCAAAAAUAGUUCAAAAUUAGAUUGUCUGGCAGGGCAAACAAUCCCAUCAGCUUCUGCCAGCCCCUAUAUUCUGGCUGGCCCCAGAAUUUAGUCAGGAUCGAACUAAAAUGUUUUGGUUUCUGGGGUGAGCCUUCAUCCAGGUCAAAAUAUUCUGGAAGAAGGCUCGCCUGGCACCUGGAAUUCACACCCUCGAGCUCUCCUUUUCACAGAACAGCUUUCGUCAGAUUUAUUGACAGCAUAGCGGGGCAUGAUUAACGUAUAAUCCAAUAGAGUUGAGCUUUUGACCUUGGCACUAUCGACAUUUGGGGCUAGCCAAUACCUU
rnacentral:lncRNA from 13 species